UUUGGUUAGGGUUUGAUUUAGGGUUUAGGUUUUGGAUUAAGAUUUGAUCAGGAUUUAUUUAGGAUUUAAGAUUUGGUUAGGAUUUUAUUUAGGGUUUAAGAUUUGGAUUAGGGUUUGGUUUAGGAUUUAAGAUUUGGAUUAGGGUUUGGUUUAGGAUUUAGGAUUUGGAUUAGGAUUUGAUUAGGAUUUGAUAAAGGAUUUAGGAUUUGGAUUAGGAUUUGGUUUAGGAUUUAGGAUUUAGGAUUUCGAUUAGAAUUUGGUUAGGGUUUGAUUUAGAGUUUGGUUAGGAUUUGGUUUAAGAUUUUGUUGGGGUUUGGUUUAAGGUUUAUUUAGGGUUUGAUUUAGGAUUUAGGAUUUUAUUAGGAUUUAAGAUUCAAUUAGUUUUGGCCUAAAGUUUGAAUGAAGUUCUAUAGGAUUUUAACUAGAAUUAGAUUAAGAUUGAAUUUAGAUGUAUUUGAGGGAUAUUUGUGAUC
rnacentral:lncRNA from 1 species